rnacentral:rRNA from 1 species
AUUGAACGCUGGCGGCAUGCCUUACACAUGCAAGUCGAACGGCAGCACGGAGCUUGCUCUGGUGGCGAGUGGCGAACGGGUGAGUAAUAUAUCGGAACGUACCCAAGAGUGGGGAUAACGUAGCGAAAGUUACGCUAAUACCGCAUACGAUCUAAGGAUGAAAGCAGGGGACCUUCGGGCCUUGUGCUCCUGGAGCGGCCGAUAUCUGAUUAGCUAGUUGGUGAGGUAAAGGCUCACCAAGGCAUCGAUCAGUAGCUGGUCUGAGAGGACGACCAGCCACACUGGAACUGAGACACGGUCCAGACUCCUACGGGAGGCAGCAGUGGGGAAUUUUGGACAAUGGGGGCAACCCUGAUCCAGCAAUGCCGCGUGAGUGAAGAAGGCCUUCGGGUUGUAAAGCUCUUUUGUCAGGGAAGAAACGGUGAAGGCUAAUAUCCUUUGCUAGUGACGGUACCUGAAGAAUAAGCACCGGCUAACUACGUGCCAGCCGCCGCGGUAA